GACGAACGCUGGCGGCGUGCUUAACACAUGCAAGUCGAACGGAAAGGCCCCUUUUGGGGUGCUCGAGUGGCGAACGGGCGGGUAACACGUGAGUAACCUGCCCUUGACUUCGGGAUAACUUCCUGAAACUGGGGCUAAUACCGGAUAGGAAUCCUUGCUGCAUGGUGGGGGUUGGAAAGCUUCGGCGGUUUUGGAUGGACUCGCGGCUUAUCAGCUUGGUUGUUGGGUAGUGGCUUACCUAGGCUUUGACGGGUAGCCGGCCUGGGAGGGGGACCGGCCACAGUGGGAAUGAGAUACGGGCCAGACCCCCAAGGGAGGCAGCAGGGGGGAAUAUUGGACAAUGGGCGGAAGCCGGAUGCAGCAACGCCGCGUGCGGGAAGACGGCCUUUGGGUUGGAAACCGCUUUCAGCAGGGGCGAAGCUUGUGGUGACGGUACCUGCAGAAGAAGCACCGGCUAACUACGUG
rnacentral:rRNA from 1 species